CGAGCGAACGUAUUUGCGGAAGUUUUCGGAUGGAAGCGGAUGCGACUUAGCGGCGGACGGGUGAGUAACGCGUGGGUAACCUGCCUCAUACAGGGGGAUAACAGUUAGAAAUGACUGCUAAUACCGCAUAAGCGCACAGGACCGCAUGGUCCGGUGUGAAAAACUCCGGUGGUAUGAGAUGGACCCGCGUCUGAUUAGCUGGUUGGCGGGGUAACGGCCCACCAAGGCGACGAUCAGUAGCCGACCUGAGAGGGUGGCCGGCCACAUUGGGACUGAGACACGGCCCAAACUCCUACGGGAGGCAGCAGUGGGGAAUAUUGCACAAUGGGGGAAACCCUGAUGCAGCAACGCCGCGUGAGUGAAGAAGUAUUUCGGUAUGUAAAGCUCUAUCAGCAGGGAAGAAAAAAGACGGUACCUGACUAAGAAGCCCCGGCUAACUACGUGCCAGCAGCCGCGGUAAUACGCAGGGGGCAAGCGUUAUCCGGAUUUACUGGGUGUAAAGGGAGCGUAGACGGCAUAGCAAGUCUGAAGUGAAAGCCCGUGGCUCAACCGCGGAACUGCUUUGGAAACUGUUAAGCUGGAGUACUGGAGAGGCAAGCGGAAUUCCUAGUGUAGCGGUGAAAUGCGUAGAUAUUAGGAGGAACACCAGUGGCGAAGGCGGCUUGCUGGACAGAGACUGACGUUGAGGCUCGAAAGCGUGGGGAGCAAACAGGAUUAGAUACCCUGGUAGUCCACGCGGUAAACGAUGAAUGCUAGGUGUUGGCGGGCAAAGCCCGUCGGUGCCGC
rnacentral:rRNA from 1 species